AGUGAACGCUGGCGGUAGGCCUAACACAUGCAGGUCGAACGGCAGCACAGUAAGAGCUUGCUCUUACGGGUGGCGAGUGGCGGACGGGUGAGGAAUACAUCGGAAUCUACUUUUUCGUGGGGGAUAACGUAGGGAAACUUACGCUAAUACCGCAUACGGCCUACGGGUGAAAGCAGGGGAUCUUCGGACCUUGCGCGAUUGAAUGAGCCGAUGUCGGAUUAGCUAGUUGGCGGGGUAAAGGCCCACCAAGGCGACGAUCCGUAGCUGGUCUGAGAGGAUGAUCAGCCACACUGGAACUGAGACACGGUCCAGACUCCUACGGGAGGCAGCAGUGGGGAAUAUUGGACAAUGGGCGCAAGCCUGAUCCAGCCAUACCGCGCGGGUGAAGAAGGCCUUCGGGUUGUAAAGCCCUUUUGUUGGGAAAGAAAAGCAGCAGGUUAAUACCCCGCUGUUCUGACGGUACCCAAAGAAUAAGCACCGGCUAACUUCGUG
rnacentral:rRNA from 1 species